rnacentral:rRNA from 1 species
AAGGUUAAGCCUCACGGUUCAUUAGUACCGGUUAGCUCAACGCAUCGCUGCGCUUACACACCCGGCCUAUCAACGUCGUCGUCUUCAACGUUCCUUCAGGACUCUCAAGGAGUCAGGGAGAACUCAUCUCGGGGCAAGUUUCGUGCUUAGAUGCUUUCAGCACUUAUCUCUUCCGCAUUUAGCUACCGGGCAGUGCCAUUGGCAUGACAACCCGAACACCAGUGAUGCGUCCACUCCGGUCCUCUCGUACUAGGAGCAGCCCCCCUCAGUUCUCCAGCGCCCACGGCAGAUAGGGACCGAACUGUCUCACGACGUUCUAAACCCAGCUCGCGUACCACUUUAAAUGGCGAACAGCCAUACCCUUGGGACCUACUUCAGCCCCAGGAUGUGAUGAGCCGACAUCGAGGUGCCAAACACCGCCGUCGAUAUGAACUCUUGGGCGGUAUCAGCCUGUUAUCCCCGGAGUACCUUUUAUCCGUUGAGCGAUGGCCCUUCCAUUCAGAACCACCGGAUCACUAUGACCUGCUUUCGCACCUGCUCGCGCCGUCACGCUCGCAGUCAAGCUGGCUUAUGCCAUUGCACUAACCUCCUGAUGUCCGACCAGGAUUAGCCAACCUUCGUGCUCCUCCGUUACUCUUUAGGAGGAGACCGCCCCAGUCAAACUACCCACCAGACACUGUCCGCAACCCGGAUUACGGGUCAACGUUAGAACAUCAAACAUUAAAGGGUGGUAUUUCAAGGUCGGCUCCAUGCAGACUGGCGUCCACACUUCAAAGCCUCCCACCUAUCCUACACAUCAAGGCUCAAUGUUCAGUGUCAAGCUAUAGUAAAGGUUCACGGGGUCUUUCCGUCUUGCCGCGGGUACACUGCAUCUUCACAGCGAGUUCAAUUUCACUGAGUCUCGGGUGGAGACAGCCUGGCCAUCAUUACGCCAUUCGUGCAGGUCGGAACUUACCCGACAAGGAAUUUCGCUACCUUAGGACCGUUAUAGUUACGGCCGCCGUUUACCGGGGCUUCGAUCAAGAGCUUCGCUUGCGCUAACCCCAUCAAUUAACCUUCCGGCACCGGGCAGGCGUCACACCGUAUACGUCCACUUUCGUGUUUGCACAGUGCUGUGUUUUUAAUAAACAGUUGCAGCCAGCUGGUAUCUUCGACUGAUUUCAGCUCCAUCCGCGAGGGACUUCACCUACAUAUCAGCGUGCCUUCUCCCGAAGUUACGGCACCAUUUUGCCUAGUUCCUUCACCCGAGUUCUCUCAAGCGCCUUGGUAUUCUCUACCUGACCACCUGUGUCGGUUUGGGGUACGAUUUGAUGUUACCUGAUGCUUAGAGGCUUUUCCUGGAAGCAGGGCAUUUGUUGCUUCAGCACCGUAGUGCCUCGUCAUCACGCCUCAGCCUUGGUUUUCCGGAUUUGCCUGGAAAACCAGCCUACACGCUUAAACCGGGACAACCGUCGCCCGGCCAACAUAGCCUUCUCCGUCCCCCCUUCGCAGUAACACCAAGUACAGGAAUAUUAACCUGUUUCCCAUCGACUACGCCUUUCGGCCUCGCCUUAGGGGUCGACUCACCCUGCCCCGAUUAACGUUGGACAGGAACCCUUGGUCUUCCGGCGAGCGGGCUUUUCACCCGCUUUAUCGUUACUUAUGUCAGCAUUCGCACUUCUGAUACCUCCAGCAUGCCUCACAGCACACCUUCACAGGCUUACAGAACGCUCCCCUACCCAACAACGCAUCAGCGUCGCUGCCGCAGCUUCGGUGCAUGGUUUAGCCCCGUUACAUCUUCCGCGCAGGCCGACUCGACCAGUGAGCUAUUACGCUUUCUUUAAAUGAUGGCUGCUUCUAAGCCAACAUCCUGGCUGUCUGGGCCUUCCCACAUCGUUUCCCACUUAACCAUGACUUUGGGACCUUAGCUGGCGGUCUGGGUUGUUUCCCUCUUCACGACGGACGUUAGCACCCGCCGUGUGUCUCCCGUGAUAACAUUCUCCGGUAUUCGCAGUUUGCAUCGGGUUGGUAAGUCGGGAUGACCCCCUUGCCGAAACAGUGCUCUACCCCCGGAGAUGAAUUCACGAGGCGCUACCUAAAUAGCUUUCGGGGAGAACCAGCUAUCUCCCGGUUUGAUUGGCCUUUCACCCCCAGCCACAAGUCAUCCGCUAAUUUUUCAACAUUAGUCGGUUCGGUCCUCCAGUUAGUGUUACCCAACCUUCAACCUGCCCAUGGCUAGAUCACCGGGUUUCGGGUCUAUACCCUGCAACUUAACGCCCAGUUAAGACUCGGUUUCCCUUCGGCUCCCCUAUUCGGUUAACCUUGCUACAGAAUAUAAGUCGCUGACCCAUUAUACAAAAGGUACGCAGUCACACGCCUAAGCGUGCUCCCACUGCUUGUACGUACACGGUUUCAGGUUCUUUUUCACUCCCCUCGCCGGGGUUCUUUUCGCCUUUCCCUCACGGUACUGGUUCACUAUCGGUCAGUCAGGAGUAUUUAGCCUUGGAGGAUGGUCCCCCCAUAUUCAGACAGGAUACCACGUGUCCCGCCCUACUCAUCGAGCUCACAGCAUGUGCAUUUUUGUGUACGGGGCUGUCACCCUGUAUCGCGCGCCUUUCCAGACGCUUCCACUAACACACAUACUGAUUCAGGCUCUGGGCUGCUCCCCGUUCGCUCGCCGCUACUGGGGGAAUCUCGGUUGAUUUCUUUUCCUCGGGGUACUUAGAUGUUUCAGUUCCCCCGGUUCGCCUCAUUAACCUAUGGAUUCAGUUAAUGAUAGUGUGUCGAAACACACUGGGUUUCCCCAUUCGGAAAUCGCCGGUUAUAACGGUUCAUAUCACCUUACCGACGCUUAUCGCAGAUUAGCACGUCCUUCAUCGCCUCUGACUGCCAGGGCAUCCACCGUGUACGCUUAGUCGCUUAA